UGCAUCUCAAUGCUGCUGAGAUAUGUGACACCGGUGGUCAGAAAAGGCCACUAAUUUCCAUUGCUGUAGCUGAAGGACUUAAAUGGUGAUAUAGACCGGUCAGAAAAGGAAGCGCCGCAAGUGAGACGCUGGAUGGCCAAGUCUUUGCGAUAGCCAGGGUGGUCAUACCUGCCGAGCUGCCUGCAAUUCAUCCCAGCGUGGCAUGGAACUGUUUUUGGUCGAGUGUCCAGCAAGAAUGCUGUGUUAUAUACAGUGAACCCUUCA